UGAUGGAUCUGGUCUGGAUCUCACUGCCAGCUGUUGGUGCUUGUGGCAAAGAGAGGAUGAGCCCUCUGUAGGUGAGGGAAACUGAGGCAUGGAGAGAAGGGGCUCGCUCUCCUCUGGCUGCCCUGUGUCCGCUGGAGAGACACGCGUGUCCUCUGCGCUGGUGGCUGGGGACAGUGGGACACCUUGGAUGGACAGACAGGGCUGCAGCGGGGCAUCUCCUGGUGUUGGUGCCAAGCACAGACCCCUCCUGUCUGCAGCACCCUCCUGGCGAGGACCAGCACGGUUCCCCCAGCACGGCAGCUCCCUGCCAGGCUUGCUUCUGGAACAGCCGCAGAUCUCGUGCAGCUCUUUAAUCAAACGUUUCAGUGCCUCAAGAGCUGGAAAGGAUUUGGGGAAUGCGGCUGGGUUGUUUGCAAACUUCUCCGGGCUCCAGGCGUGCUCCCAGCUCUCCUUUCUCCAAGACCAAAGGGAACCCGAGCCGGGAGCCCUGCAGAUGUGAGCUUCACCCCAAUACAGGGCUGGGACCAGGCACACGAGCCAGAGCCAGUGGCCACAUUCAGGAUAUUUAGGCUGGGUCCUGGCUGGAGCAAGGAUCUGCAGCAAAGCCCAGGGCACGUGGAAGUGGGAGCCGCCUCCCUGCUGAGCUCUGUGGGAUGCAGCAGCCCGUGGUUAGGGCUGGGCCCUCUGUAGCUGACCUCGGGUGGUGUUUCAGCGUCCGAAAGAACUUCAGCGGCUUCGAGGGUGAUGCCUCCCUUGGAAACAGCAACCUGAAAUUACAGCAAGGCCACAAACGCAUCUGCUAGGGAGUACAGGGCGGGCUGGCAGCGGGAUAUCCAGCUCCCAGCUAGGGAAGGGAUGCGAGGAAGAGCCAGGAGCUAUUUCAGCUCCCCAUGCCACCCCCUUCCUUGCGCCGCUCCAGCUUGAGUGCUAACGAAUGCUUCACAGGGAGCGGUACCAGCGAUGCUCAGCGCACGCAGCACAGGAGCAGCUCCUCACCCUGUCCUGCGCAGGGAAAUCCCUUCGAUGAAAUCCCUUCAAUGCUAACGGGGCUGGAGGGGGAAGGAAGAGGGGUGGGCAUGAGCGCAUCCUGCUAGGAGCGAUGAGCCGCUUCGCUGAGCCCUGGCAGGCUGCGCCACGUCCUUCUGGUGCUUUUCGCUGGUUGCUGUCGGAUUUGAUAAUUGCAGCAGUCUGGCUUGCUUCCUCCCUGCUGGAAAAGGGCUGCCGUGCUCUGUGCCUCCGUGCACCUGGAGCAAGGCUGGUUCUUGUAGGGCUGGUGCUGGUCGGGAAGAUUGGUGGAUGGUUGGUUAAGGAGAAGCUGGAAGAGGAGGAUAAAUCUCACUGGAGUUGGGCAAAGAUGCUUAGCCCUCGGGAUGCAGCUGGAAGAAGGAGCAGGGUGUAUAAAGGACAAAGAAUAGGGUUUGACGAGCGUCCUGUCGUGCUCCCCUUGUCCCCUUUCCUCCUGCUGGCACAAAGCAAGAGGCAGGGCUGGCAGCCUGACACGGGGAGAGCAGCCUCUGGUAGCCACCGGGGUAUUUUCCGGCGGCAGGGAGGCUCCGAGCAGUGAUGCUGAGGCCGCUCCGUGUUGUCAUCUGUGACGCAGAUGUGUCACCGUCCCCUGGGGUCCCCGUGCGGCAGCAGCCGGUGCCAGCUCCUGCCGGCGUGGCCGUCUCCGACUCCACAAACACAGGAACCUGGGGCCGGAGCAUCUGCGCCUGCAGCGGGGAGCUGGCCGCAGACCCCGCCACGGAUGUCCUGAGAAGUGCUGCGGGCACGGACUGGGGACAGAAAUCCCUGCCUGGCCUGGAAAGGGCCCACGGGGGACCCUUGGGUUUAGGGGAGGUGGGGGUGGCCACACUGGCUCUGCCUCCCCCUUCCAUACCCCUCUGUCAGCACAGAGUUCAACACCAAAAGCCCCAUAAUUCGGUCCUGAUGCAGAUCCUGCCUCGCCCUGGGUUUUGCUCGGGCUGCUGCAGCCCCAGGAUAGGCACCAAGGGAGGACCUGGUGGGGCAGAAAGAGCUGAGAAAUCUGUGGGAAGAAACAAGGGGCUGGGGUUAAGACCCCAGAGCGGGGAUCAAGGGAUGGAGCAUCUGCUCCCAGCAGGGUUUGUGCCUCAGCAAGCUUCUUCUGUCUUUUGUAGCCCUCCCUGAGCCCGCUGAGCUGAAACCCCACCAAUUCUCUGUCCUCUGCCUGUCUGGUGCCCAGGGCUUCUCUGGAGCCCUCACUCCUGCCUUUCCCCCGCAGUCUCCCUGCGAAAACGCUUCCCUCAGAGCUCUGGAAUAAAAAAAAAAAAAAAAAAAAGAAGAAACAGCCCCCUUGUUCUGCUGCGAUGAACUGGCUCUUUUUCCAGUCACAAGGGCGAGCUGAAGCAAAACUUUCCAUGCUGAGCAGGAACAGAAAGAGAGAGGGAGAAGUAAUGAACCCUCCUUUAAAAGAAAAAAAAAAAAAAAGCAACAAAAGCCAGCAAAGCUGGGCGCUUCCUUUCCCCCAUCUCCCUCUUUUUUGGAACAAGGCAGCGAGCUUGCAAAGCGCGUUUUAAGCAGGAGCAGAUGCAGGCGUUGCUGGCCCCGGAGGGACGCCGGGACAGAAAACUGCUUUGUGCAAAUAUCACCGUGCUCGGUCAUUGUGCCGGGCGGCAGUGCGAGGGGCAAGGCCAGCAGCCCACCUCUUGGGUGCUCAGCACCUUGAAAUUUGGGUCUUUUGGGGUUCUUAGUGCUCGGCUGGUGCGUGAGACUUCCCUGGCUUGGUUGCUUUGGGGUCAGAGAGCCAGAAAUGUGGUCUGAGAGGUGACAGCCCCCGGGAAGCCGCAGGGUGCCAGGAGCUGGGGUUUUGGUGAAAUGUUGGCAGUGAGAUGGGCACCAGGUGCUUCCCUCCGGUUGUGCCGCCAGGAAAUCAGCCUAGAGCCAAAAAUAGAGCUCGGGUUGGAUGCUUUGCAGAGGGAGGCAGGGAUGUUCAGGGCUGGAUUUUUGGAGAGGUCUGGAUGCGCAUCGGGAGCGACAGCCCCUGUCCCACCACGCUUCCAUUCUUUGCCCCAUCAAAGCAAUGAAGGGCUUGCUCCAGGGCAGCUGUAAAUAGCCCUUGGCUUUCUGACCCCCA